UACGAAGGGGGCUAGCGUUGUUCGGAAUUACUGGGCGUAAAGCGCGCGCAGGCGGUCUUCCAAGUCAGUGGUGAAAGCCCGGAGCUCAACUCCGGAACUGCCAUUGAAACUGUUGGACUUGAGUACGAGAGAGGUGAGUGGAAUUCCCAGUGUAGAGGUGAAAUUCGUAGAUAUUGGGAAGAACACCGGUGGCGAAGGCGGCUCACUGGCUCGUAACUGACGCUCAGGCGCGACAGCGUGGGGAUCAAACAGG
rnacentral:rRNA from 1 species